UGGGGUAUAGUGUAAUGGCAACACGGAUGACUCUGGAUCAUCUAAUUUAGGUUCGAAUCCUGAUACCCCAG
rnacentral:tRNA from 1 species